GGACUACCCGGGUAUCUAAUCCUGUUUGCUCCCCACGCUGUCGCGCCUCAGCGUCAGCUACUGCCCAGCAGGCCGCCUUCGCCACCGGUGUUCUUCCGGAUCUCUACGCAUUCCACCGCUACACCCGGAAUUCCACCUGCCUCUACAGUGCUCAAGCCCAGGAGUAUCCUUGGCCGACCCGAAGUUGAGCCUCGGGCUUUCACCACGGACUUCCCGCGCCGCCUACGCGCCCUUUACGCCCAGUGAUUCCGGACAACGCUCGCACCCUCCGUAUUACCGCGGCUGCUGGCAC
rnacentral:rRNA from 1 species